rnacentral:rRNA from 1 species
UACGGGGGGGGCAAGCGUUGUUCGGAAUUACUGGGCGUAAAGGGCUCGUAGGCGGCCAACUAAGUCAGACGUGAAAUCCCUCGGCUUAACCGGGGAACUGCCUCUGAUACUGGAUGGCUUGAGAUUGGGAGAGGGAUGCGGAAUUCCAGGUGUAGCGGUGAAAUGCGUAGAUAUCUGGAGGAACGCCGGUGGCGAAGGCGGUUCUCUGGGACGGUACUGACGCUGAGACGCGAAAGCGUGGGGAGCGAACAGG